rnacentral:lncRNA from 1 species
GGCUGUAGUAUUUUCGUUUAUAUUUGAUAAUUAUUGUCAACAAUACACUAACUAAGCUUAAAAAAUUCGUCUCACAAAUUACAGACAAAUUAUAUAAUUAGUUAUUGUUUAUCUACAGUUAAUGUUCUAUACAUGUGUCCCGAGAUUUGAUAAAAUAAGGAAUCUUGAAAAUUUUUGGAACUAAACAAGGCCUAAACCAAGUAAAACAAUAAGUGAAGCUUCUAGUCAAUAUGUCAUUUAGGGUGCCGAUCUCUUGGUUGCAUUUCUUCCUCGUCUCGCACUACAUGGGUUUUGAGUGUGGGAUUGUUGUGAGAUUGGUGGAGAAGAAGAGUGUGUUUGAUCGUCACCACUGUUGACUUGUGCUUAUUAACCAAAUCAGCCGCUUAUAAAAUAAUGUUUUUCUCUCAUCAAGAGAAAAGCAUAAGCUGUUAAUGUUUUCUCGAAGGAGAAAAGGAAAUUUUAUUAAAACCCAACACGGUACAUCUCCAAAUUAGAUAUGAAAAAAAAAUCUAAAACAAAAAACGUAUAAUAUCUUACCCCAAUCCUUUCAUUGCCUUUUUUUUUUUCCUUAGUGGUGAUCACUCUAGAUGAAUAAAGUGUUGUUGAACAACUAAGUCACAAUGCACUCUUUAUGCCAAAUAUAAGGAUCCAUUCUAAAACAUUAGAUAUGCCACAAGAUCCAAAACACAUUUAAAUUAUGAAAGAGAAUCCGCGUUUGCAGGAUGCCUGAUUUUCACUCUUCAACCAUUGAUGAUGAUGUCGAUGCAUCGAUGUUUUCUAUCCUCAUAGUAAGUGCCUAGGAGCCCCACUUUGCACCACUCCUUUUGCUAAUAAUAGCUAGAAAUUGGCCUCCUACCGAAGUCGACGCAUCCUCUCCUUAUCAUUGGUGGACUAGGGCGGAAGAAGGAGAGGAGGCUAGAUGACAUAAACAACCCGC